rnacentral:lncRNA from 10 species
AAAAGGAAUAAAUUCCAGACACAAUACUGUGUUUUUGAAAAUUAUUUGUAGAGAUAAUUUUAGGUAUAUAAUGAAUGUACCUUCUGCUAGUGAAGCUUUAUAUUUGCUGUGUCAGGUAACUGUGGCUACUAUCAGUCCAGAAAACCAAUUUUAAAUCUUGAGAUUCCACGGAUUUCCUGGUGAAUUGGAACUCAGACUGUCAAUCUGGAUGAGGCCUGUUCUAUGUAUGGAUUACCCGUUGAGGCUACCUCAAGAUUGUAGCCUCUUUUGGUCCUAGUUUAUUGUGUAAGGUGUCUCCUGUUAGAAUCCUCUUUUGUAGGGGCCCGGGACUUUAAAUUUCGUACUUUUUCCUUUAAUGAUGCUUUCUUAAUAUUAUGAAAUUUCUAGUCAUGAUCAAAUUUCUAAUUGUCUUAAAUAUCGUAACUUUAAAAAAUAUAUAGUUUGAAUCAGGAUCCAAUUACAUUUACAUUGCCAUUGUUUUUAAAAAUAAGGUUUUUAGGUAUAUUUUAAUGCAUAAGCUUUUUCCUUCCAAUGCCUUCAUUCUCAUUGCAAUUUAUUUGAAAAAGAUAUCUCUUUGUUUAAUAUAGAGAGUUUCCCACA